ACUCAGCCAUGGAAAUGACUCCAGCUGUCAAUGUGUGGAGCAGCGUGAGGUCAUCCCUGCUGAGCGUAGUACAGCUUACAAAAUCUUAAAGUAAAUACUUGUUGUUGUUUUAAGCCACUAAGUUUUGGGAAGAUUUUUUGCCCAGAAAUAGAUAAUGAAAACAACAGACGAAUGAAUUUUUACUUAGGUGUGUGAUGCUGUCAUGACAAAAUAUCACGUCAUGUGGUAUUUUCUUUGGGAUCAUAUGGCAGGUUAGGGGUGCUAUGGUCUGGGUAUGGUUUAUUUGGCCCCACCAUGCCUCAUGUUGACAUUUGAUUUCCAGCGUUAGAGGUGGGGCC